ensembl:lncRNA
AGGUUUUCAUGACGUGAGAACUCUUGAUACAUUAAAAAUUAGCAGAUGAGUUGUAACCCCCUGAGAAUAUAUACAUCUAUGGUUCUUGGUUUGAGAAACUCAAGAGUCUGCUCAAAGCUGGGUGUGGUGGUACACACCUAUAGUCCCAGUGCUAGCAGGCUGGAGGAUUCUGAGUGUGAGGCCACCUUGAGCUACAUAGUGAGUUCAAAUACAGUCUAAAUUGCAUAGUGAAACCCUGUGACAGACAGACAGUCUUCCCAGAGGAGGUGGUGCCUGUUAUGAUAGCAAAGUGCUGCCACAAAGGUGCACUAGCUUCCAAAGCAGAGGGUAAUGAUUUGCGUUCUGUGGUGCCACCACUAGCCAGACGACUUCAGAAUGGAGAUUUUAUUCCUCUAGGCCCUCAGUUUUCUAAAAAAAAAAUAGUGUUCACAAGAUGAUGGGGGUCCUGAGUUCAUUCCCCUGUACCAAGAAAACAACAACAACAACAACAACAACAACAAACAACAAGAUGGUGGGGCCAAAUGUGACCACAAAGACACAAGCACUGUGACCUUUGUCAACCAGGGUGGGCUACACAAAACGCUGGUGUGGGGCAUGGCCAGUGGAGGGAGCCGGGUGCCCAUUGUCUGGGCUACUCCUCCUGGUCCAAGUGUCCAAGUAUGAGAGUGGCUGGUUGAAAGCAGAGGACUUGAGUCCUGUAGGGCAUUCUGCUCUUUUGUGAAGAUGGAGAGAUACACAGGGCCUGUCCUGACUCUCAUCCUUGAUCCAAAGGAUGAAAACACUGAGUGACAGUUUCUGCAGAGGACCAUGGUGGCCCUGGGGCAGGGCUGGGUGGGCACAGGCACCCUGCAUGCUGCUUAAGAACCUCAGAGUCCAGCCUUCCUGCAGGACUCUUCCUCUGCUAGGAUGCAUGGGACAGAUUCCCCCAACCAAAUAAGGGUUGAGACAUGCAUGGGCCCACAUGGGAAAGAGGCCCUGAGAGCUCAGCCUAGCAUCCCUCCCUGGAGACCACCUUGGGGGACCCCAUGCCCAGGAGUGAGUAGCAUUGGUGCCCUUGAGGGGUUGGGUGAGAGCUGUACAUCCAUAUGCUAGGUGGCUGAGAGGAGCCAUUGGCGGGAACUCAGGUGCCUGGAGAGGAGAUUAGACCUGAUGAGGCUUUGGAGGUGUGUGAAGAUGAGAACUAUGUAAGCUAAGGUGGGAGUCUUGUCCUCACAGUGGGAGGUAGCCCACCGGGGGUUCCACUCCUCUCUGAGUGGGCAGAGUGGACCUAGGUCCUCCACUGAGAGCUCACAUGUCCUUGUUGGCCAGGAUUGCUUCCCUCUCCUCUCUCUUUCUAGAACUCUGAAUGGCUUUAAUCAUAACUUGGACAAAGAUCUGCAGUGCGGGGCCAGCUCACUGUCACCUUCUGGUCCUUCAGUCUCAAAGACUUUGCUGUGUUUAUGUCCAUGUGCUCUAUCCAGCUCUGCUCGUGUCCACAUACAGUUGAGCGUGUGAUUGUCAUGUGGAUGUGGAAUGGGUUUCAGUGGUGGGGAGGGUUUGAAGGACAGAGGAUUGGUGCAGAAGGAUGGAAGAAGGACAGAGGGGGGUGCAGAAGAAGGAAUCAGAGACAGAGGCUCAUGUCAGGUAAUGUGGAGGUGGCUGGAGGUCACCCUGCUGCAGGUACUACGAUGUUAGUCUCCAUACCCACUAAGGAGACUGGACAUUCCCUCCCCUUCCUGAUACAAGUCUCUGCUCCAACCCCAGCUGGGUCAUUUUCUCCCGGAAUCCAGAUGCUGUUGUCCAGCCACCCAGGGAGAAGCUGCAGCAUGAGCUUCCCCAGUGAUCUACUAUCUUCUCUUUGAGGAGUCCAUUAAAGACCCAAUUCAGAAUAGUUUUUUGCUCUGGAGCUGGUUGGACCCAAGGUUAGCCUGCUGAUUCUGGUCCAUUGGAACAAUUUUUUUUUUUCAUUACUGCUUAGUAAUUAACAUCUAGGAGCAGAUGAGAGAAAUUUAGGGAGUAUUUGAAUCUGAAAUCCAGCAGCACAGAGCUGUGAGUGGCAUGGCAAGGUUGGGCUGCUGCAAUCGAUAUAUUUAUUGUCCGAAGCUGACUGUCCAAUGAGUGAGCUCCGUUUGUCACUUCAGAUGGAUAGGGAAUCACUCUCUGUUUUUAUUAUUUCAAUUCCUGUCCUUCAUGGGGUUGUGGUGAAUUAGCUCAGUGCCAUUUUCUAAAAUAUCAAGCAUUUUUAUACAUUAGGUAUAGUGAAUGGCAAAUACUUGAUGUAAAGUCUGCAGUUUUACUCCAUAACCAGAUUGUAAAAUAUGAACUGAAUUAAUCAUAACUGCGAAGACUAAUGGUACGUUUUCUCUUAUUUUAUCUUUAGUGCCUUUCAGAUCAUGUUUUAAAACCUUCCACGUCUGGCGUUGGGAACGCAGCCGCGGCUUGGUGGUGGAUAGCAAGAGGCAAAGGUCAGACUGGAGGCUGCGCAAAUAUUGUGUGGUGGAUUUAUUGUUUUAAUUAAGAGUGUGGCAGUUCAUCAUAAACUGUUUAUGGCGUUUCUGCACAGUGCAGCAUUUUGAAAUCAGCUGUUUUAAUGAAAACAUAAUGUCAUAUCUGUCAAAGUUCUAAAUAUUUUGAAAGUGAAAUAUGGAAACAAGAACUUUAAUUCUAGGUUUACUGAGAUUAGCUCAUUGAAUUGCUUUUAAAUCCCUUAAGAGGGUCACAUCAUGGGUACUGCAUGGUUUCCUGUAGGUGACUGGGAAAAAAAAUUCUAGGAGGUUCUCAAGCUGGUUAUUUAAUAGUGAAAAUACAAGUUGAAGGUUAAUGUAUUGAAAAACAAAACCAUUAUGGUUGGUGUUGGGGUUUUAGAUUAAAGAGGCAAUAAUGGGUGUGCAGGGGCCUCUGUGCCCAGUUGUUUGGGGAGGCCUAAUUGUGCCGAGAGGGAACCGAAAGCCUCUGAGGGCAGGAGAGAAAUGGAUCUGCCCUUGUCCCUUUCCAGUUGUGAAGCCUCAACAUUGCCAUGUUUGCAACUAAUUAUUUAUAAUGACCUCAAAGAUGAUGGCGUUUCAUGGACUUUUCAGGCUGAGCAGUUUGCAAUCCUAAUAAUUCUCUCUCAUGGUCGCUGGGCAUCUAUGGAGACGUGUCAGCCAUUCUUGGUUACAUUUGUUAGGGAGUCGGAUAAAAUAUUUGUCUAAUCUGGAAAUUGUAUUUUUAGCUGUACUCUCAUUGGAAACAGAAAUUAAGCUUGUCAUUAGAUGCUGGGCCACAGGAGUUGACUGAACAGGGAGAGGCCCAAAGAGAAGAUGCCAUCUGUUCAUGGCCAAGGAUGGAAAGGGCAGAGUUGAGAUUGGAACUCAAUUUCAGAGCCAAGAGUCUUCCACUCUGCCAUGCAAUACCUCUCCAAGUGAACCUGAGAAAGGUUCCAACUCAUUCUUUUCCUUUCAUCAACUUUCAGUUUGUUUGCAACUCAUCAUUUCUCUUGUGACCCAGAGAUGGAAAAAGAUGUUGUAGAGAACAAGGCUUCUUCAUCUUUAGAAGAUUCCUUCCAUCUUGAAAAGGAAGUAGAAAUGGAAAUGCUGAGAUUCAGAUGUCUGGAGUCACCAUGACCCCCAGAAUAAUAAGAAGAAAAGGUACUCUUUUUAAAACAAGAAAAUACAACCUUGACAGAGAGAAGUGAUUCAUGCCUAAUGGUUCCUGUGAAGGUGUGAGGGGUGAGUGUAGACUGCGGUCUUUGGACUGGGAUAAGGCCCUGAAGUCUCCAUCUUUAUAGGUGAAAUUGAGGUGGUUACAAAAGGUAAGGACUUCUGUGGAACUGGAGGUCUUUUUGUAAGAAAAGGGAUCAGAAGAUGUGGAGAAACACUGGCUGCACAUGAUGGUGAUAAAUGACGACAGGCCAGGCAUGGCUGGGAAGGAUGCUCCACAUGCUGCUGUCCUACUCCAACAUCUGGCUGGGCAGAUUUGCCUUCUGAGCCCAGGACAUGGCUUGGUGAACAUCUCUAGACAGCACAUCCUCAUCCUAAGGUUAGGUCAGCAGACACCUGCAACAAAUAUGAUUGCAAGGGUGAAGGUGACAUGAUUUACUUAAAUCAGGCAAUUUCUCCAUUAAGGCAUUGAAGCCUCAAUUCAUAAAGACACUCUUUAGCAGGU